rnacentral:rRNA from 1 species
ACUGAUGCAGCAACGCGCGUGGAGGAUGACACAUUUCGGUGCGUAAACUCCUUUUAUAUGAGAAGAUAAUGACGGUAUUAUAUGAUAAGCACCGGCUAACUCCGUGCCAGCAGCCGCGGUAAUACGGGGGGGUGCAAGCGUUACUCGGAAUCACUGGGGCGUAAAGAGCAUGUAGGCGGAUUAAUAAGUUUGAAGUGAAAUCCUAUAGCUUAACUAUAGAACUGCUUUGAAAACUGUUAAUCUAGAAUGUGGGAGAGGUAGAUGGAAUUUUCUGGUGUAGGGGGUAAAAUCCGUAGAGAUCAGAAGGAAUACCGAUUGCGAAGGCGAUCUACUGGAACAUUAUUGACGCUGAGAUGCGAAAGCGUGGGGAGCAAACAGGAUUAGAUACCCUGGUAGUCCACGCCCUAAACGAUGUACACUAGUUGUUGUGAGACUUGAUCUUGCAGUAAUGCAGUUAACACAUUAAGUGUACCGCCUGGGGAGUACGGUCGCAAGAUUAAAACUCAAAGGAAUAGACGGGGA